AAAAACAGGAACCACCGUGUUCCCAACACCGUGUGCACUAUUGACUGUCUCUGGUGGAAUCAGAGGGCUCUUGCUGGAACUCGUUUCGGCAACCUCCCUCCUCCACCAAAGGUGCGCCUCCGUAAGGGGGUGCCACCGAAACAAACCUAAUGAUUGUUUAUUUUUGUCUGAUGCGUUUUCGCCACCUUCACAGGUGAACGAAUUCAAAAA
rnacentral:misc_RNA from 1 species